rnacentral:rRNA from 1 species
UACGUAGGGACCGAGCGUUGUCCGGAAUCAUUGGGCGUAAAGAGCGUGUAGGCGGCCCCUUAAGUCCUGCGUGAAAUCCUGCGGCUCAACCGCAGACGGUCGUGGGAAACUGGAGGGCUAGAGUGCGGGAGAGGAGAGUGGAAUUCCCGGUGUAGCGGUGAAAUGCGCAGAUAUCGGGAGGAACACCGGUGGCGAAGGCGGGUCUCUGGGCCGAUACUGACGCUGAGGAGCGAAAGCGUGGGGAGCGAACAGG